UGGGGUGGAGCUCAGUGGCAGAGUGUGUGCUUGGCAUGCUCGAGGUCCUGGGUUCAAUCCCCAGUACCUCUG
rnacentral:tRNA from 1 species